GGCCUCGUGGUCUAGUGGUCAGGAUACCUGCCCGGCAAGCGGGGGGCGUGUGGUUCGAUUCCCACCGAGGCAGCA